rnacentral:rRNA from 1 species
UACGAAGGGGGCAAGCGUUGUUCGGAAUGACUGGGCGUAAAGAGCGCGUAGGCGGCGAUAUACGUCAGAUGUGAAAGCCCUGGGCUCAACCUAGGAACUGCAUUUGAUACGGUAUGGCUUGAGAUCGAGAGGGGAACAUGGAAUUGCGAGUGUAGAGGUGAAAUUCGUAGAUAUUCGCAGGAACACCAAUGGCGAAGGCAAUGUUCUGGCUCGAUACUGACGCUAAGGCGCGAAAGCGUGGGGAGCAAACAGG